rnacentral:rRNA from 1 species
UAGACCUACGGGGCGCAGCAGUGGGGGAUAUUGCACAAUGGGGGAAACCCUGAUGCAGCGACGCCGCGUGGGUGAAGAAGCGCCUCGGCGCGUAAAGCCCUGUCAGCAGGGAAGAAAAUGACGGUACCUGAAGAAGAAGCCCCGGCUAACUACGUGCCAGCAGCCGCGGUAAUACGUAGGGGGCAAGCGUUAUCCGGAUUUACUGGGUGUAAAGGGGGCGCAGGCGGUCCUGCAAGUCUGGAGUGAAACGCAUGAGCUCAACCCAUGCAUGGCUUUGGAAACUGGAGGAAUGGAGAGCAGGAGAG